CUUAUUAUUUGCAUUUUUGAGCAAGAAAAAGGGCUUACUAGUGAUAGAUUAUUGACGUUGCUGUUGUUCAAGGUAUUAGAGCCUGAUGGUGUCGCAGUCAGGUUAGCAAUCACGGUGGAAGGGCGUGUUUGAGUCUGGUUGGCGGUUAUGUUGGGAGGGUUUGUCUGGGUCAGGUUGGCGGUUAUGUUGGGAGGGUUUGUCUGGGUCAGGUUGGCGGUUAUGUUGGGAGGGUGUGUCUGGGUCAGGUUGGCGGUUAUGUUGGGAGGGUGUGUCUGGGUCAGGUUGGCGGUUAUGUUGGGAGGGUGUGUCUGGGUCAGGUUGACGGUUAUGUUGGGAGGGUUUGUCUGGGUCAGGUUGGCGGUUAUGUUGGGAGGGUUUGUCUGGGUCAGGUUGGCGGUAAUGUUGGGAGGGUUUGUCUGGGUCAGGUUGGCGGUUAUGUUGGGAGGGUGUGUCUGGGUCAGGUUGGCGGUUAUGUUGGGAGGGUGUGUCUGGGUCAGGUUGGUGGUUAUGUUGGGAGGGUAUGUUUGGGGCAGGAUAGCGGUUAUGUUGGGAGGGUGUGUUUGGGUCAGGUUGGUGGUUAUGUUGGGAGUUUGUGUUUGGGGCAGGUUGGUGGUUAUGUUGGAAGGGUGUGUUUGUGUCAGGUUAGCGGUCAUGUUGAAAGGGCCCAUCUGGGUUGGGUUUGUGGUCAUAUUAAAAGGGCUCAUCUGGUUCGGGUUUGUGGUCAUGUUGAGAGGGCCCAUCUGGGAUAGGUUUGUAGUCAUAUUAAGAGGGCCUGUCUGGGUAAGGCUGGUGGUUAUGUUAUGAGGACCCAUCUGGGUUGGGUUUGUGGUCAUGUUAAAAGGGUUCAUUUGGUUGGGGUCUGUGGUCGUGUUUAAAGGGCUCAUCUGGUUCGGGUUUGUGGUCAUAUUGAGAGGGCCUAUCAGGGAUAGGUUUGUAGUCAUAUUAAGAGGGCCUAUCUGGGUAAGGCUGGUGGUCAUGUUGAGAGGACCAAUCUGGGUUGGGUUUGUGGUCAUGUUAAAAGGGCUUAACUGGUCGGGGUUUGUGGUCAUGUUGAGAGGGCCCAUCAGGGAUGGGUUUGUAGUCAUAUUAAGAGGGCCAGUCUGGGUAAGGCUGGUGGUCAUGUUGAGAGGACCCAUCUGGGUAAGGUUAAGGUUUAUGUUGGGAGGUCCUGUUUGAGUUAAGUUUGAAGUUAUGUUGAAGGGACCGACCUGGUUUAGGUUGGUGGUCAUGCUGGGUGGGUUCGUCUGGGUCAGGUUGGUGGUAAUGUUGGGUGGUAGUGUCUGGGUCAGGUUGGUGGUCAUGUUGGUUGGUAGCGUCUGGGUCAGGCUGGUGGUCAUGUUAGAAGAUAUCCAGCUGUCUGUAGAGUUGCUACUGCUUGUUGUAUUGCUCCCAUUGACUCCAAGCAUCAUGCAUGCUAUCCCCAGGAUAGCCACAUAAAUCCAUUUACUCCUCAUCCGUGAUCUUUAUGUGCUUAUGUAUCUGUUAAUCGUGCAGUUUUUGUUACCUAUAAUUUAAAAGAAAACAAAUCAUCUUGUAUAAUCAACAAAAAAAAAUAAACAUUUUGGAUAAUUUAAAUUUGAUUUUAAAAGCCAUUAACGAAAGGCAGGCUUUAUCUGAAAGACUUUGUCGUUCAUAAUCUUUUAUCAUUCCUUCCCAGACACAAACAAGCAUGAACCUGGAUCCUCAAUUCAUCAACACCUUAGUUUAUUUACCACAUCUUAUUUAGCAAUAUGGUAUUCAUAAAUAUUAUGGCAUUUUAACAAUUUAACCUUAACACUAACAUACGAGUUUUGCUUAAUGUCUUUUCAUUUCUUUAUCUCAGCAAUGGUUGUUUGUUUGAUGGAACUAAGAGGCUAUCUAUGCAAUCUUCAAAUAAUUCUUGUUACACAACAUUAUAUACUACACAGUGCAACCAUUUAACCUUCUUACUAUGGUAAAGUGUAAAAUUACAGAAUUUGAUAGAUCCUCAAAAUCCAUCCUCAAAACUAAGUGAGCAUAAAAAAAUAAAAUUUUUGCAACUAAAAACUUUUUUUUUUUAAUGUAUGCUUUAGAAGUCAGUGGCUCCUUAGUCAUUCCAUAGUCUCUCGAAAAGUUGGGUCGUUCAGACAGGAUAGCACCGUCCAAUAACACAAAGUAUUUUUAUUUUUUUUCCAGAGUAGACACAACAUUUUGUAAAAAUGUACCAAAAAUUAAAUAAUACAUAAUUGACUUCUAUUUUUAUAACUAAUUUGAAUUAUAAUAUAAAGAUAAAAUAUAUUCAAUUGAUAGGCUAUCUAAUAUUCAUUCAGUACAAUGCAUAAUAAGAUUUGUAAUUUAUGAUCAAACUCAGAUAAAAUAAUAAAAAAUAAAAAAAAACAGCAUGCAUUGGUAUCUGAACAAACAGGAAAAAACAG
ensembl:lncRNA